UACGUAGGGUGCAAGCGUUGUCCGGAAUUAUUGGGCGUAAAGAGCUCGUAGGCGGUUUGUCGCGUCGACUGUGAAAACCCGAGGCUUAACCUCGGGCCUGCAGUCGAUACGGGCAGACUAGAGUUCGGUAGGGGAGACGUGGAAUUCCUGGUGUAGCGGUGAAAUGACGCAGAUAUCAGGAGGAACACCGGUGGCGAAGGCGGGUCUCUGGGCCGAUACUGACGCUGAGGAGCGAAAGCGUGGGGAGCGAACAGG
rnacentral:rRNA from 1 species